rnacentral:rRNA from 1 species
UACAGAGGUCUCAAGCGUUGUUCGGAUUCAUUGGGCGUAAAGGGUGCGUAGGCGGCGCGGUAAGUCGGAUGUGAAAUCUCGGAGCUUAACUCCGAAACUGCAUUCGAUACUGCCGUGCUUGAGGACUGGAGAGGAGACUGGAAUUUACGGUGUAGCGGUGAAAUGCGUAGAUAUCGUAAGGAAGACCAGUGGCGAAGGCGGGUCUCUGGACAGUUCCUGACGCUGAAGCACGAAGGCCAGGGGAGCAAACGGG